rnacentral:rRNA from 1 species
CCUACGGGUGGCAGCAGUGAGGAAUAUUGGGCAAUGGGCGCGAGCCUGAACCAGCCAAGUAGCGUGAAGGAUGACUGCCCUACGGGUUGUAAACUUCUUUUAUAAAGGAAUAAAGUGCGGCACGUGUGCCUUUUUGCAUGUACCUUAUGAAUAAGGAUCGGCUAACUCCGUGCCAGCAGCCGCGGUAAUACGGAGGGUCCGAGCGUUAUCCGGAUUUAUUGGGUUUAAAGGGUGCGUAGAUGGGUUGUUAAGUCAGUUGUGAAAGUUUGCGGCUCAACCGUAAAAUUGCAAUUGAUACUGGCAGUCUUGAGGACAGUUGAGGUAGGCGGAAUUCGUGGUGUAGCGGUGAAAUGCUUAGAUAUCACGAAGAACUCCGAUUGCGAAGGCAGCUUACUAAACUGCAACUGACAUUGAUGCUCGAAAGUGUGGGUAUCAAACAGGAUUAGAUACCCUAGUAGUC